ensembl:snoRNA
AGGUGAUUUCAAAAAGGACUUGUGGGCUGUGAAUCCAGGCACUCAACACUUUGAAAGUCUUCAUAUUAACUAUAGUCACUCAAUCGUGCUAUGCUUUCCUGAGGAGAUAUAAGG